GUAAUACGUAGGGUGCGAGCGUUAAUCGGAAUUACUGGGCGUAAAGCGUGCGCAGGCGGUUUUGUAAGUCAGAUGUGAAAUCCCCGGGCUUAACCUGGGAACUGCGUUUGAAACUGCAAGGCUAGAGUGUGGCAGAGGGGGGUGGAAUUCCGCGUGUAGCAGUGAAAUGCGUAGAGAUGUGGAGGAACACCGAUGGCGAAGGCAGCCCCCUGGGUUAACACUGACGCUCAGGCACGAAAGCAUGGGGAGCAAACAGGAUUAGAUACCCUGGUAGUCCAUGCCCUAAACGAUGUCAACUAGUUGUCGGGUCUUAACGGGCUUGGUAACGUAGCUAACGCGUGAAGUUGACCGCCUGGGGAGUACGAUCGCAAGAUUAAAACUCAAAGGAAUUGACGGGGACCCGCACAAGCGGUGGAUUAUGUGGAUUAAUUCGAUGCAACGCGAAAAACCUUACCUACCCUUGACAUGUAUUGAAACCUGCAGAGAUGUGGGUGUGCCCGAAAGGGAACGAUAACACAGGUGCUGCAUGGCUGUCGUCAGCUCGUGUCGUGAGAUGUUGGGUUAAGUCCCGCAACGAGCGCAACCCUUGUCAUUAGUUGCCAUCAUUUAGUUGGGCACUUUAAUGAGACUGCCGGUGACAAACCGGAGGAAGGUGGGGAUGACGUCAAGUCCUCAUGGCCCUUAUGGGUAGGGCUUCACACGUAAUACAAUGGCGCGUACAGAGGGUUGCCAACCCGCAAGGGGGAGCUAAUCUCAGAAAGCGCGUCGUAGUCCGGAUCGGAGUCUGCAACUCGACUCCGUGAAGUCGGAAUCGCUAGUAAUCGCGGAUCAGCAUGUCGCGGUGAAUACGUUCCCGGGUCUUGCACACACCGCCCGUC
rnacentral:rRNA from 1 species